UGUGUAGGCGGUUGUUUAAGUUUGGUGUGAAAUCUCCCGGCUCAACCGGGAGGGUGCGCCGAAUACUGAGCGACUUCGAGUGCGGGAGAGGAAAGUGGAAUUCCUGGUGUAGCGGUGAAAUGCGUAGAUAUCAGGAGGAACACCGGUGGUGUAGACGGCUUUCUGGACCGUAACUGACGCUGAAACACGAAAGCGUGGGUAGCAAACAGGAUUAGAUACCCUGGUAGUCCACGCCCUAAACGAUGCACAUUUGGUGUGGGUCAUUCAGUUGAUCCGUGCCGGAGCUAACGCGUUAAAUGUGCCCGCCUGGGGAGUACAGUCGCAAGGCUGAA
rnacentral:rRNA from 1 species